GAUGAAGAACGUAGCGAAAUGCGAUAAGUAAUGCGAAUUGCAGAAUUUCCGUGAGUCAUCGAAUCUUUGAACGCACAUUGCGCCCACUGGUAUUCCGAGGGGCAUGCCUGUUCGAGCGUCAUUUCAACCCUCAAGCACAGCUUGGUCUUGGGCUUCGCCGCUAACCCGGCGGGUCUUAAAAUCAGUGGCGGUGCCGUCGGGCCCUGAGCGCAGUAAUCUCUCUCGCUAUAGGGUCCCGGCGGAUGCUGGCCAGUAACCCCCAAUUUUCUAUGGUUGACCUCGGAUCAGGUAGGGAUACCCGCUGAACUUAAGCAUAUCAAUAAGCGGAGGA
rnacentral:misc_RNA from 1 species